rnacentral:rRNA from 1 species
AACGAACGCUGGCGGCAUGCCUAACACAUGCAAGUCGAACGAGACCUUCGGGUCUAGUGGCGCACGGGUGCGUAACGCGGGGGAACCUGCCCUUAGGUUCGGAAUAACUCCCCGAAAGGGGUGCUAAUACCGGAUAAUGUCUUCGGACCAAAGAUUUAUCGCCUUUGGAUGGGCCCGCGUUGGAUUAGCUAGUUGGUAGGGUAAAAGCCUACCAAGGCGACGAUCCAUAGCUGGUCUGAGAGGAGGAUCAGCCACACUGGGACUGAGACACGGCCCAGACUCCUCCGGGGAGCAGCAGUGGGUAAUAUUGGACUAUGGGCGAGAGCCUGAUCCAGCACUGCCGCGUGAGUGAUGAAGUCCUUAGGGUUGUAAAGCUCUUUUACCCGGGAUGAUAAUGACAGUACCGGGCGAAUAAGCGCCGGCUAACUCCGUG